rfam:Pseudomonas rhizosphaerae strain DSM 16299, complete genome.
GGCGGCCGGCGUCCGCAGCAGUCGAUCAUCGUAUGCUGCUGCGGGACUCACCGGCCGCU